UACAGAGGGUGCGAGCGUUAAUCGGAAUUACUGGGUGUAAAGCGUGCGUAGACGGUAGCGUAAGUCAGAUGUGAAAGCCCCGGGCUCAACCUGGGAAUUGCAUUUGAGACUGCUCUGCUCGGGUGCGGAAGAGGGAAGCGGAAUUUCCGGUGUAGCGGUGAAAUGCGUAGAUAUCGGAAGGAACACCAGUGGCGAAAGCGGCUUCCUGGUCCGACACCGACGUUCAGGCACGAAAGCGUGGGGAGCAAACAGG
rnacentral:rRNA from 1 species